rnacentral:rRNA from 1 species
UACGUAGGUGGCAAGCGUUGUCCGGAAUUAUUGGGCGUAAAGCGCGCGCAGGCGGUCCUUUAAGUCUGAUGUGAAAGCCCACGGCUCAACCGUGGAGGGUCAUUGGAAACUGGGGGACUUGAGUACAGAAGAGAAGAGUGGAAUUUCCGGUGUAGCGGUGAAAUGCGUAGAUAUCGGAAGGAACAUCAGUGGCGAAAGCGGCUUCCUGGACCAGCACCGACGUUCAGGCACGAAAGCGUGGGGAGCAAACAGG